rnacentral:rRNA from 1 species
UAGGGAAUCUUCCACAAUGGACGAAAGUCUGAUGGAGCAACGCCGCGUGAGUGAAGAAGGUUUUCGGAUCGUAAAGCUCUGUUGUUGGUGAAGAAGGAUAGAGGCAGUAACUGGUCUUUAUUUGACGGUAAUCAACCAGAAAGUCACGGCUAACUACGUGCCAGCAGCCGCGGUAAUACGUAGGUGGCAAGCGUUGUCCGGAUUUAUUGGGCGUAAAGCGAGCGCAGGCGGAAUGAUAAGUCUGAUGUGAAAGCCCACGGCUCAACCGUGGAACCGCAUCGGAAACUGUCAUUCUUGAGUGCAGAAGAGGAGAGUGGAACUCCAUGUGUAGCGGUGGAAUGCGUAGAUAUAUGGAAGAACACCAGUGGCGAAGGCGGCUCUCUGGUCUGCAACUGACGCUGAGGCUCGAAAGCAUGGGUAGCGAACAGGAUUAGAUACCCUGGUAGUCCAUGCCGUAAACGAUGAGCGCUAGGUGUUGGGGACUUUCCGGUCCUCAGUGCCGCAGCAAACGCAUUAAGCGCUCCGCCUGGGGAGUACGACCGCAAGGUUGAAAC